UACGGGGGGGGCAAGCGUUGUUCGGAUUUACUGGGCGUAAAGGGCGCGUAGGCGGCUUGACAAGUCACUUGUGAAAUCUCCGGGCUUAACUCGGAACGGCCAAGUGAAACUGUCAUGCUAGAGUGCAGAAGGGGCAAUCGGAAUUCUUGGUGUAGCGGUGAAAUGCGCAGAUAUCAGGAGGAACACCGGUGGCGAAGGCGGGUCUCUGGGCCGAUACUGACGCUGAGGAGCGAAAGCGUGGGGAGCGAACAGG
rnacentral:rRNA from 1 species